rnacentral:rRNA from 1 species
GUGUCAGCCGCCGCGGUAAUACGUAGGGUGCGAGCGUUGCCCGGAUUUAUUGGGCGUAAAGGGCGCGUAGGCGGUGAGACACGUUCGUUGUGAAAUCGCCCGGCUCAACUGGGCGGGGUCAGCGGAUACGGUCUCACUUGAGCAAGCUAGGGGGCAAUGGAAUUCCCGGUGUAGUGGUGGAAUGCGUAGAUAUCGGGAGGAACACCAGUGGCGAAGGCGGUUGCCUGGGGCUUUGCUGACGCUGAUGCGCGAAAGCGUGGGGAGCGAUCCGGAUUAGAAACCCGUGUAGUCC